AAUGGGUCAGCGACUUAUAUUCUGUAGCAAGGUUAACCGAAUAGGGGAGCCGAAGGGAAACCGAGUCUUAACUGGGCGUUAAGUUGCAGGGUAUAGACCCGAAACCCGGUGAUCUAGCCAUGGGCAGGUUGAAGGUUGGGUAACACUAACUGGAGGACCGAACCGACUAAUGUUGAAAAAUUAGCGGAUGACUUGUGGCUGGGGGUGAAAGGCCAAUCAAACCGGGAGAUAGCUGGUUCUCCCCGAAAGCUAUUUAGGUAGCGCCUCGUGAAUUCAUCUCCGGGGGUAGAGCACUGUUUCGGCAAGGGGGUCAUCCCGACUUACCAACCCGAUGCAAACUGCGAAUACCGGAGAAUGUUAUCACGGGAGACACACGGCGGGUGCUAACGUCCGUCGUGAAGAGGGAAACAACCCAGACCGCCAGCUAAGGUCCCAAAGUCAUGGUUAAGUGGGAAACGAUGUGGGAAGGCCCAGACAGCCAGGAUGUUGGCUUAGAAGCAGCCAUCAUUUAAAGAAAGCGUAAUAGCUCACUGGUCGAGUCGGCCUGCGCGGAAGAUGUAACGGGGCUAAACCAUGCACCGAAGCUGCGGCAGCGACACUAUGUGUUGUUGGGUAGGGGAGCGUUCUGUAAGCCUGUGAAG
rnacentral:rRNA from 1 species